rnacentral:rRNA from 1 species
ACGGCGAACGGGUGAGUAACACGUGAGUAAUCUGCCCUCGGCACCGGGAUAGCCCGGGGAAACCCGGAUUAAUACCGGAUGGCCCACCAGCCCCUCGGGGCGGUUGGAAAGGUAGCUUCGGCCUCCGGCCGAGGAGGAGCUCGCGGCGGAUUAGCUUGUUGGCGGGGUAACGGCCCACCAAGGCGACGAUCCGUAGCUGGUCUGAGAGGACGAUCAGCCACACUGGGAUUGAGACACGGCCCAG